CCUUCCCAAAGGAGCUCCAGAACAGUGUGCUUGAAACCACCCUUAUGCCACAUAAUUACUCCAGGUGUUAUACUUGCCAAGUCAGCAAUUCUGUGAGCAGCAAGAAUGGCACGGUCUGCCUCAGUCCACCCUGUACCCUGGCCCGGUCCUUUGGAGUAGAAUGGAUUGCAAGUUGGCUAGUGGUCACGGUGCCCACCAUUCUUGGCCUGUUACUUACCUGAGAUGAGCUCUUUUAACUCAAGCGAAACUUCAAGGCCAGAAGAUCUUGCCUGUUGGUGAUCAUGCUCCUCACCAGGACAGAGACUGUAUAGGCUGACCAGAAGCAUGCUGCUGAAUUAUCAACGAGGAUUUUCAAGUUAACUUUUAAAUACUGGUUAUUAUUUAAUUUUAUAUCCCUUUGUUGUUUUCUAGUACACAGAGAUAUAGAGAUACACAUGCUUUUUUCCCACCCAAAAUUGUGACAACAUUAUGUGAAUGUUUUAUUAUUUUUUAAAAUAAACAUUUGAUAUAAUUGUCAAUUAAC
rnacentral:lncRNA from 1 species